rfam:Dipodomys ordii contig_40909, whole genome shotgun sequence.
GGUGGCUCAGUGGUAGAGUACUUGCCUUGCAUGCAUGAGGCCCUGGGUUCGAUUCCUCAGUACCA